rnacentral:lncRNA from 1 species
GACUAAAAGUGACGAAACAACAAGGUUCUACGAGGAAUAUCAAGUAAUAGUAAGAAAAAUAUACCGAAACGUUGACGAACAAUCUCGUCAUGAACUCAGGCGUUUCCGAUGGAACUCCAAUCUCCGGCGAUGUCCUUCGUUAUUCCGGUAAGCUUUUCUGCUCCGACGAAACUCCAACAAUUACAGGGAAAAAGGUGUUUCGAGAGUAGGAAUGUGAACGGGUUGUGAUGGUAGUGUAACUUUGGUCACGGCAACCGGUCAUCUUCUCCGAUUCUCCGGCGAAACUCCGGUGUAUUGUGGUUAGCACAAGAGAGUGGUUUAUUUGAUGGUGACGUAUUUGGGUGUUGAGAGCGUGUAAUCAGACUUAAUCCCGACAAAUCGGCAUGGCAAAUAAAAGGAAGCUUAGAUGUCGGCGGCAAUUGUGAGACGGUUAGGAGGCAUAUUCAACAUCACUCCUGCCUUUUGAAAUCCUAUCAAAUAAGCCUAAGGCGAGUGCUCUUCAUCUUGUAAGUUGUAAGUUUCGCCUUUUCUUUUAAGAAGCAAAUUCAUUUACCAACUGUCCAAGUUAUAAUUCGAAGUCUAUUGAUAUGUUUUCAUCUUUCAACUGAUAAUGCAUUGUUGUGUUUGUGUGGGUGAAUUUAUGCUUGAUCCCUACUACCCUUUCAGGCGAAGGUAUGAUAUAUUGUUUCUUGGCAAAUCUGUUUUGUGUUAGUUUUUUCAUUUGUAUUUAGAUUUUUACUUUUGUCUUACAUUCUGUUUUUUGUUCUAUUAACUUUGUAGAUAUUGUUGUGUAAUUACGGGUUCUUCGUAUCUGUUAUCUCCGUUGAGGUCUUAUUUGUGUACCUGUUGGCAACUCCAUCCAAGUCCAGUACCGCAAAGGGAAGUAAGAAAUUUUUUUUUUGAGUUUUUAAACUCGGCAGAGGGAAGCAAGAAGAAAAAUUGUGUUUUUAAACGAGGGUUUAACCAAUAUUUUUUUCUCUUUGUUUUUAAAUUUAUUGAUUUGAACCUUGCUUUGCAGGUUGGAGUUCUUCGUGAGCUGAUUCACUCGAGACAGUCUCUCCAAAAUAACAGACGAAUAAGAUCAAAUAUCCAGCACGUCAUAAACGCAAAAGAGGCUCGAUGAUAAUGGCAGGCUGGGGUGGCAGUAUCUUGAUGUCGUAUAUAUUACAUUUGAUGCGUCAAUUUCUCAUAUUAAUUUGAUUUAUGCAUUGUUGAAUUAUUGGUACCUUGCAGGAAAACUUAUGGAUUUGGAGCCGAUUCGCGAUCUGAAGUCCCAACACGGGAGGCAAAGGUUUGCUGACUAAGAAAGUAAUUGACUGAAGCGUCUUUAACCCAAUAAAUUCAAGAGUCCAUGCACAAAUAAUGGUUUAAAGAUCAUUAAUAAGGUCAUAUUCAUUUUGAGGCAUAUUAGAUACGAUAUCUCACCUUCCACAGGUUCUUUUUUCUAUUUUUUUUCUCAUUUGCACAUCAAUUAGUGUGUACCGUGAUUAAUAAGUUAUGUUUUUUUACUUUCU